GAUGAACGCUGGCGGCGUGCCUAAUACAUGCAAGUCGAGCGAACGGACGAGAAGCUUGCUUCUCUGGUGUUAGCGGCGGACGGGUGAGUAACACGUGGAUAACCUACCUAUAAGACUGGGAUAACUUCGGGAAACCGGAGCUAAUACCGGAUAAUAUUUUGAACCGCAUGGUUCAAAAGUGAAAGACGGUCUUGCUGUCACUUAUAGAUGGAUCCGCGCUGCAUUAGCUAGUUGGUAAGGUAACGGCUUACCAAGGCAACGAUGCAUAGCCGACCUGAGAGGGUGAUCGGCCACACUGGAACUGAGACACGGUCCAGACUCCUACGGGAGGCAGCAGUAGGGAAACUUCCGCAAUGGGCGAAAGCCUGACGGAGCAACGCCGCGUGAGUGAUGAAGGUCUUCGGAUCGUAAAACUCUGUUAUUAGGGAAGAACAUAUGUGUAAGUAACUGUGCACAUCUUGACGGUACCUAAUCAGAAAGCCACGGCUAACUACGUG
rnacentral:rRNA from 1 species